CAAACCAUCCCUGGGUUAGUGCUGAGAGGAAGCAUGUUGGUGGGAGCGGUGGGAUCCGGUGAUGUCAUCGUGUCAUGGCUUUAUUUCUCUCUCUCCCUCUCUCUCUCUCUCUCUCCAGGAAAAAAAGUGCUUGCAUUGAAGGAAAGGAAGAAGGAAGAGUUAGAAAGGAAGAACAAUGGAUGGAUAGAAACACCAGAGGGCCUGGUGGUUUCUACGGUGAUGAGGGAGACGGUUGCCAUGGGAACAUGACAAGCAGCAGCCGCCCGGUGCUUUGGGGAGUGAUUGGUGGCAGCUCCUCCAGUCCUGAACUCUUGUCCUUUUUACUGUGACUCUCCCUCACCACACAGACACGUCAGAUGAGCAGAGAGGGAGAUGGAGGAGUGAGACCGAGGAGUGAAAUUCUAGACAAAGAGUGUCACGACUUCCGCCGAAGUUGGUCCCUCUCCUUGUUCGUUCGGCGGUCGACGUCACCGGCUUUCUAGCCUCCACCGAUCUACAUUUCUUUUUCCAUUUGUUUUGUCUGUAUUGUACACACCUGGUUCCCAUUUCGUUUUAAUUAUUUCCCUAUUUAACCCUCUGGAGCCAUCGUGGUUUUGUG
rnacentral:lncRNA from 1 species